rnacentral:lncRNA from 1 species
GGUAGAUGAUAUUGCAGGCAUUAAUACGGAUCAUAUGGAGGUGAGUACGAUAAUGUAAUUGUAAUAUAAAAAAUUGGAAAUGAUGUUAUUCCUGACCUAAUUAAUCUUUAUUAUUAGGUGAGGGUAGAGCAUUCUUUUGUACGUGAAGAACCCCACCUAGUUGAAGUAGACCCUACUAUACUUAAUACUAGUAAAGCGAUGGAGGUAAUUUUCAUUAAUUUGUAGUUAAAGAUAUGAUCUUUUAUUAUAAUAUGAAUGGUUAUUGUAUCUAGCAUUUUUUUCUUAUCAAGUCAGUUUCGUGACUGAAGUGGAGUGCAAGAAAGAAUAUGCCGCUGCGAAACAUGUGUCCUCAUUAUGUAGGCGAAUAAAAAUAAAAGCUCGCAAAAGAAAGCCCA